UACGUAGGGUGCAGGCGUUAAUCGGAAUUACUGGGCGUAAAGCGCACGUAGUCGGCUUUGCAAGUCGGGUGUGAAAUCCCCGGGCUCAACCUGGGAACUGCAUCCGAGACUGCAUUGCUAGAGUAUGGGAGAGGGAAGCGGAAUUUCUGGUGUAGCAGUGAAAUGCGUAGAUAUCAGAAGGAACAUCAGUGGCGAAGGCGGCUUCCUGGACCAAUACUGACGAUCAGGUGCGAAAGCGUGGGGAGCAAACAGG
rnacentral:rRNA from 1 species